UACGUAGGGUGCGAGCGUUGUCCGGAAUUACUGGGCGUAAAGAGCUCGUAGGUGGUUUGUCGCGUUGUUCGUGAAAUCUCACGGCUUAACUGUGAGCGUGCGGGCGAUACGGGCAGACUGGAGUACUGCAGGGGAGACUGGAAUUCCUGGUGUAGCGGUGGAAUGCGCAGAUAUCAGGAGGAACACCGGUGGCGAAGGCGGGUCUCUGGGCAGUAACUGACGCUGAGGAGCGAAAGCGUGGGAGCGAACAGG
rnacentral:rRNA from 1 species